AUGCGCAAGGGCCUCGCCUCUAUAACACUGCUUAUUCCCUGGAUGCUUUGGAAGCAUCGGAACGACUGUGUCUUCGACAGAGCCAGCCCUUCAAUCGCUGCGGUGUUGACCAAAAUCAAGGAGGAGGCGACCCUUUGGGCCAGAGCCGGUGCGCUGGGCCUGCGUGCUCUCAUUCCCCAGACAUGGGAUGUACACUAA
rnacentral:rRNA from 1 species